CGCGGCCUAUCAGCUUGUUGGUGGGGUAACGGCCCACCAAGGCAUCGACGGGUAGCCGGUCUGAGAGGACGAUCAGCCACACUGGGACUGAGACACGGCCCAGACUCCUACGGGAGGCAGCAGUGGGGAAUAUUGCACAAUGGGCGCAAGCCUGAUGCAGCGACGCCGCGUGAGGGAUGACGGCCUUCGGGUUGUAAACCUCUUUCGCCAGGGACGAAGCCUUUUGGGGUGACGGUACCUGGAGAAGAAGCACCGGCUAACUACGUGCCAGCAGCCGCGGUAAUACGUAGGGUGCGAGCGUUGUCCGGAAUUAUUGGGCGUAAAGAGCUCGUAGGCGGUUUGUCGCGUCGGCCGUGGAAACUGGAGGCUUAACCUUCAGCGUGCGGUCGAUACGGGCAGACUUGAGUUCGGUAGGGGAGUCUGGAAUUCCUGGUGUAGCGGUGAAAUGCGCAGAUAUCAGGAGGAACACCGGUGGCGAAGGCGGGACUCUGGGCCGAUACUGACGCUGAGGAGCGUAAGCGUGGGGAGCGAACAGGAUUAGAUACCCUGGUAGUCCACGCUGUAAACGUUGGGCGCUAGGUAUGGGUGACAUUCCACGUUGUCCGUGCCGUAGCUAACGCAUUAAGCGCCCCGCCUGGGGAGUACGG
rnacentral:rRNA from 1 species